UGCCCUGUGGUGUAAUUGGCAACACGCCUCUUUUUGACAGAGGUAUUCUGGGUUCAAGACCUAGCGGGGCAG
rnacentral:tRNA from 1 species